rnacentral:ribozyme from 1 species
AGGACUAUAUUAUUAUACUUUCUUCUUUAAUGCUACCGUAGACAGUGACAAGUCUGAUAAAUGCAGAGUCAAAGA